CUGGGAUUCGGUUUCUAGGAAAUGUUGCAAGUUUCCAGGCAAAAAGGAUUGGCUUCUGCUCUCCGAGCACAGGGCCUGCCUGCAGAGAUGCUGAGCAAGAAGCUUUCAUCUGUGCAAAAUCAAGGGCUCAUUGACAAAAGGGUGCAUUCCUCCCACAGAACCAUCUCUUCUGUCUAAGCAACCACACAGCCACCUAUGGAAAAGGGAACGGAGGCCAAAUAGUAAAUCUGACAAAUGUCCACUAUGUACUAGAUUUUCUGGGCAAGGCUUUAAAACAAAGCAUUUUUGUUCUCCAUACCCCCAGCUCCCAGCACAUGACCAGGGCUGUAAAUUACUGUAGAG
rnacentral:lncRNA from 1 species